rnacentral:rRNA from 1 species
AAGCUCGUAGUUGAAUUUCGGGGUUCUACCGUUGGUCGGGCUAACCAGUCUGUACUAGCGUGUAGAAUUCUUACCUUCUGGGGAACCAUCAUGUUAUUAAUUUAGCGUGGUGGGAAACCAGGACCUUUACCUUGAAAAAAUUAGAGUGUUCAAAGCAGGCUUACGUCUGAAUACAUUAGCAUGGAAUAAUAAAAUAGGACGGUGGUCCUGUUUUGUUGGUUUCUGAAUCACCGUAAUGAUUAAUAGGGAUAUUGGG